AAAUAGCAAAUUGAUCCAUUUUUACUGUUAAAGAUUAGUCUGACUAACAAAAUAAUCAGAAAGUUACAUGUGACAUGUUAUGUGUAUCUUAGGUAUAGAAGGAGCAGUUUUUAAUAGUAAAAAUGGAAUUAAAUUUUUAACA
rnacentral:pre_miRNA from 1 species